rnacentral:rRNA from 1 species
AACGAACGCUGGCGGCAUGCCUAACACAUGCAAGUCGAGCGCCCGUAGCAAUACGGGAGCGGCGCACGGGUGAGUAACGCGUGGGAACCUGCCCAGAGGUUCGGGACAACCGCGGGAAACUGCGGCUGAUACCGGAUGAUACCUGAGGGUCAAGGAUUUAUCGCCUUUGGAGGGGCCCGCGUCAGAUUAGGUAGUUGGUGAGGUAACGGCUCACCAAGCCUGUGCUCUGUAACUGGUCUGAGAGGAUGACCAGUCACACUGGGACUGAGACACGGCCCAGACUCCUACGGGAGGCAGCAGUGGGGAGUAUUGGACAAUGGGGGCAACCCUGAUCCAGCAAUGCCGCGUGGGUGAUGAAGGCCUUCGGGUUGUAAAGCCCUUUCGGCGGGGACGAUGAUGACGGUACCCGCAGAAGAAGCCCCGGCUAACUUCGUGCCAGCCGCCGCCGUAA